AGCUAUUAAAAAAAAAAAAAAAAAGUGUUUAAUUGAAAACAGCAAGAUGCAAAUCUCUUUGAUGUAGCUUCACCCUCGUCCCUGUAUCCUCAGAUGACCUGCAGUGGAAAAUUAUCCAGCAACUCACAUGUCAAGAUAUGUGUAAUGAUUGCCCUUAGAUGAGCCAGUGGCAACAAGAGGAACAGCAAGCAGCAGCAUUCCUUAGGAGCUUUAACCUUUUAAAGCUCAGCACUCUCUGAGCUGCUGGUUCUGCCUCUGUGAUGCUGCACUAGUUGGAGCCAACAAGAGAAACUCCAAAUUUGGUCCCCUUGUGCUGCAUGUUCAGGCAUGUUCCUUUGGUAUAUUUAAAUGGAAUGGUUUAGUUUAGCAGUGAUGAGGCAGCAUCUCCUGUUUAAAACUCCCUUACCUUGCCAUGAAACUGAGCCCCUGAAAGUUGCCAUGUGCUGCUCUAAUUCUGGACACUGACUGUAUGACAUUGUGAUGCAACCUGGUUUUCUUGCUUCAGAGCUUCUUUUGGGAAACUGUUUAUGACAAAGAUCAAGCAUGCGUGCAUACCAUCUCUGGCUCAAAGAAUGAAAUACAAAUCUUACCAGUCACCACCACAGUGUUGGAAUUUGAAUCCAUGAUAUCCAUGCUCCAGAAGGUGGAAUCUUCUUGUCUUUCAGUUCCAAACAGUAUUAUAAUUCAGCUAUUGUCAGCCCACCAACAGCACUUGCGUGGUUUCAGCUUCCUGUCUUUCCUGCUGUAUCAAACGAGACCUUGGACCAGGUUUAGCCCAGGACCAAAUCUCUGGGCUGUGGGUGACAUGGGGAGAGCUGGAAUGUACAAAGCUUCCAGAGAUCACGAGCAUGUGCUGAAAUCCACUGAUGGUCUCUAAGGUGUGGUGAUGCGACAUCUGCUCUUUGGAGCAUCACUGUAUGGGCUAAAACUUUGUCCUGUACAGG